rnacentral:rRNA from 1 species
CCCGGGCUUAACCUGGGAACUGCGUCUGAAACUACAAGGCUAGAGUAUGGCAGAGGGGGGUGGAAUUCCGCGUGUAGCAGUGAAAUGCGUAGAUAUGUGGAGGAACACCGAUGGCGAAGGCAGCCCCCUGGGUCAAUACUGACGCUGAGGGACGAAAGCAUGGGGAGCAAACAGGAUUAGAUACCCUGGUAGUCCAUGCCCUAAACGAUGUCAACUAGUUGUCGGGCCUUUACGGGCUUGGUAACGUAGCUAACGCGUGAAGUUGACCGCCUGGGGAGUACGAUCGCAAGAUUAAAACUCAAAUGAAUUGACGGGGACCCGCACAAGCGGUGGAUUAUGUGGAUUAAUUCGAUGCAACGCGAAAAACCUUACCUACCCUUGACAUGUAUCGAAGCCCGCAGAAAAGCGGAGGUGCCCGAAAGGGAACGAUAACACAGGUGCUGCAUGGCUGUCGUCAGCUCGUGUCGUGAGAUGUUGGGUUAAGUCCCGCAACGAGCGCAACCCUUGUCAUUAAUUGCCAUCAUUUAGUUGG